GCGCCGCGCACCCUCCUCAACGAGAGCGUGUUUUUGCAGGCGUCGUUUGAUGGUGUGGAAGAGCGAUCAAAACAUCGACAAAAAGGGGGGAAACGCAUCAGAAAGUGUGUAUUGACGACGGAGGUUGUGGAGUUCAUACGGUUCUGCAGAGCAGCAAUGACCCAACUGGAGAUCCAAUGCAAUGGGAGGGGCGGAGCCAGCUAAUGGUGACACACAGUUAAACAAAUGAGCAGAGUGGGUGGAUCACAGAGGGGGCGGAGCCAGAGCCACAAACGGACACGCCCACGCAAGCAAAGUGAUUAUCUCAGUGGAAAGCGAUCCAGAUGUCUCCUGCAUCCCUGCAGAUUCAUGCUCUGUUUUUUGAAGUAUCACAGCAGGAGCGGCCCGGAAUGACCCAGAUCUGUAGAGGAGCGGCGGGACACGAUGAGACGCUUACGGACAGAAAUACGGCUUAUUUUAGUGUUGCACAGGAUGCUCAAAUAUCACCAUAUAUAUUGUGGUUGCACUCUAUUUUACGUAAAAGGUUUCUUUUAGCCUCACUAUAGUGCAUUGUUGGUCAUAAAUAGUAUUCAACCAAUAAAGGGCAUGACAUCAGCAGGGUGGCUGCUAUAAUGUCAAUAUACUGUAAAAUAAAUAAAAUAAAUUGAUGCAUUUGCUUGUAA